rnacentral:rRNA from 1 species
UACAGAGGGUGCAAACGUUGCUCGGAAUUAUUGGGCGUAAAGCGCACGUAGGCGGCCUGUUAAGUCGGAUGUGAAAGCCCCGAGCUCAACUCGGGAAGUGCAUACGAAACUGGCAAGCUUGAGUAUGGAAGAGGGUCGCGGAAUUCCCGGUGUAGAGGUGAAAUUCGUAGAUAUCGGGAGGAACACCAGUGGCGAAGGCGGCGACCUGGGCCAAUACUGACGCUGAGGUGCGAAAGCGUGGGGAG